UACAGAGGGUGCAAGCGUUAAUCGGAAUUACUGGGCGUAAAGAGCGCGCAGGCGGUCGUUCAAGUCGAGUGUGAAAGCCCCCGGCUCAACUGGGGAGGGUCACUCGAUACUGAUCGACUCGAAGGCAGGAGAGGGAAGUGGAAUUCCCGGUGUAGUGGUGAAAUGCGUAGAUAUCGGGAGGAACACCUGUGGCGAAAGCGGCGCACUGGACCAUAACUGACGCUGAGGCGCGAAAGCUAGGGGAGCAAACAGG
rnacentral:rRNA from 1 species